UAAGAGUGAUGUAAUUAUAGUUAAUCGAUGCAUCAUUUUCUACAUUUUGGAUUUUUGCAACAGUUUAAAAAAGCAAAACCAAAAACUGAGCUUUUUUGUGAUUGUGUCCAGGACAAUUAACUGAUAAUUAUGAAUGAUUUUAUUCUGUUGCUUUUUUUAAAGCUACAAUUUUUGUUUUUUGUCUCCCUCGCAGGGCGAUUGAUAACCAGGUGUACGUGGCCACAGCGUCUCCUGCCCGAGAUGAAACGUCUUCAUACGUCGCCUGGGGUCACAGCACUGUGGUAAACCCGUGGGGUGAAGUUAUCUCGAAGGCCGGACCGGAGGAGGCGGUUAUUUAUGCCGACAUCGACCUGCAGUAUUUAGCCGACAUCCGGCAGCAGAUCCCGAUCACGCUUCAGCGUCGUGACGACCUCUACGCGGUGACGUUUCUGCAGGACGGAUCGAGCUGAACGCCUUGACCUCGAGACGAGACGGUGUGAAGGUACCGACACAAACUGUGCAGCAGAUCUCUGCAGCAGAUCUCUGCAGCAGAUCUCUGCAGCAGAUCUCUGCAGCAGAUCUCUGCAGCAGACGCUGCGUCUUCGUCUUUCUCUGAAGCACCAGACUUUAUCGUCUCAACUGAUAAAAACAAGAGAUGCAGUUUUGGGAUGGUGACGCUCAUUUCUGAGGGAUGAAACUGGUUUGUUUUGUGUGUCUGUUGCUGAAAUGAGAAGUUAAUUACUUUAAAAAAAAUGUCAGUUUUGGUAAGCA